UACGUAAAAUACAAGUGUUAUUCAUCUUUAAUAGGUUUAAAGGGUACCUAGACGGAAAAUCAAGCCUAAAUAAUAAGGGACUAAUAUUCUAGAGUUUUAUGGAUGAAUGUUGAACUAUUGGAGUAAAGUCAACAUUUGAUAAUACCAAUGAUACGGACAACUGUGAAGACGACAUUCCAUGUAGAAACUGACGUUGAGGGACGAAGCCUUGGGAGCGAUAAGG
rnacentral:rRNA from 1 species